AGUCGGGUUUUACCAUUGACCAGAACCCUUCUUGUCCCCAACUGGGGUGGCUGGUCACUCUGCUCGAACUGCCCAUUUCCAAUCUCCUGACCUAGCCGCUGUUCUAACAGUCCAUGUUCGAGGACUUUCUUAGGUCACCAGGGACCAGUUUGCUCUUGCAUACUUAAAAUUAUGCAAUUGGCAGUUAACGCCAGUGGGAGCAGCUCUCCAACAAGGAUCGACAGGCGCUGGUAGCUAAACCUCUUAGCGCUUUCAACCCUAAAAUGGGGUAACUCUGAGGCUUACGUUCUAUGCUGGCUCCCAGAGUUCCCCGAUGGGAUUAAGCUCCGAUUGACUGUAGUAGUAACUUGGGUGAAAACACACCCUCCAUCGACUGCCUUCUUUUCCCUGUCUCAUUCCCUCAAGCUCCAAAUGGUGCCACCUGGGAUCGUCUCCCAAGUAAUCUACUUGUACUCGAGAUCUUUGUGUCAGGGUCUCCUCGUCCGGGAACCCAAGCUAAGGCACGCGACUCUCUCCCCCACUUCCGGGUCUCUGUCUAUGCGGUUAAAACGAGACUGACCCCAUCCCCCAACUCCAGGGAUGGGCACAUGACUCGGAGCUGACCAAUCACACCACCAUACCUCUUUGGCUACAGCGAUUGGUUCAGGGGUCGUCACGUGACCCCCAACCAGGCCAAUGACAGCUUCUUCCUGGACUUCCACCGAGACGAUUGGGAACAUGAACCUUUUUCUGCUGCGGUCCCCAAACUCUUGGGAUGUUAGGUUGGGGGCCGGUGUUCUCUGAGGAUGAAGCCGCCUCAGAGGAUACUGGUGCUGAGCUGAGGAAGCGAAAUCAGAUCCAGGUGGCCUUAGUGCAUCCCUGGUUCCAGCGCAGUGUAUAAUUUUAAGUGCCGUUUAUUAGCCUGGUCCAUCCUGAGCUCUCCUGCUCCCCACAGGCAGGCCUAUUUCCCAUAGCUCCUCGGGUUUGCCCUCCCUAUCUGGCCCCUCGAGUGACAGGGUUUGCAGUCCCUGGGUUUGGCCGGGAAAUCGUUCUUGCCUGAGUGUUCUGAGUUGCUUUAGCAACAUCGUGGAGCAAGGGGAGUUACCAACGUUUAAGGUGGCGGAAUAACCUGUUUGAGAAAUCAACUACUUUUCAUUUCCUCAACUCCAGAGUCAUUGGGAAAGAAUGAAAGAACCGAAUUUUGCGGGACCAAGGAGCAGCGUGCAAGGCCCAGCGGAUGAAUUCUGUUUGGUCUAAGCCAGCAUGGGAAUCCUGUCUCCCUUUGACCUAGUCUUGGGGUGAGUCGGUACGUGGGCUAUAAGAGUGUCCCGAACGCCACUGCUAUGCCAGGACGGCAGGCCAUACCUCCACUGUGCUUAAAAGAGACGGACAGCUUCGUGAUCACGUCCACUAAACCCCACUGAGUGGACUCCCCAGUUCAGCUUUUUUUAGCGGAUCCGUCCAAGUGCCCAAGGCUCUCCCAUGUCACCUGACACUGAGGUGUUACAGAAUCACAAGACGCUGUGCCCACACUGAAAGGGCUGUCCAGUUGAGGGGUGCUGAACUCAUGCUUCAUCCACUUCUUGGCAGAUCUACCUCUGGGUUUACAGGAAAGCCAGGCAGGACUGGUUGUUGGACGGGAUGUAACAAAUGUUCUUGUGGCUUCCUGCCGGAAUGAGGCUCUGGUAGGAUGCUCCUCCGGGCCCUGCAGAGCCCCACCCAACAGCUGGGUCCUGUGCUCUGGCAAGCAGCCUCAGCCUUUCCCCAGAGGCAGGACUCGGUCUCGUCCCGAGGAAACAAAUUCCUGGCUGCUGGCACAGCUUCUGCAACUUGGCUCCCAUCUCUCUGUGGAUUGUCUCCUUCAGGUACAGAGCAUCACGGACACAUUACGUGGGGUUGGGCCGGUCCAUGGUGACCCCUCUCUUUGGAACAGGUGUGGGCACCCUAGGGAGUCAUGCUUACACCUGCACAACCCUACCCUCCAGCCGGAGUUGACUGGAUAAGGACGGGGACCUGAUUAACUGAGCCAACUGGAUCCUCUCUCCUGAGAUUUUGGGGUUAUGAUCUAGUGAUUUCCGUGAGCUGUUGCUUACGGGAUGGGUGCACCCUCAGGUGCUGUGAGGCAGCCAUAUUUGGUCAUGGGCUUGGGGAAGGAGAGAGAGAGGGAGGAGAAGCAGAGAGCAGAGAUGAAGGAAUCUGUGGGCAGAGUGGUAAAGGAACACAGAACACAGAUGCCACAAUUCCAGGUGACUUUUCAGACGCCGGUUCCAGAAAUGUCUGAAGCCACUGCGCUUCCUGCCCUGUGUUUGGCACGAUAACAGCGGUUCUC